rnacentral:lncRNA from 1 species
AACAUGUGAAAAUUGUGAAGAAAUUAGAGAAGUUGAAAUAAUGAAGAUAAUUUGAAGGCAUAGUAGUGGGAGCCUGAUAUAAUUGCAAUGGUGAUGGGCUAAGGUGGGGACCAGGAAAAAAAGGCAGACGCAUAAAUCGGAUGGGCCUAUGAUGAGUCAGCACAAACAAAAAGCUAGGUAAGAAGUGGGCCCCAGUGGUCCUAUCUAUCUAUGUAUCUGAAGAAUUAAGGUUUGUUCAUCAAACAAAUGGGGCCCACUGUACUCGGGUAUUCUGCAAUAGUGGUAGUAGGACUUCUUAAGGUUGUGAUUUAUAUUUAUUUUUUAAAUGUUAUAAGUGAUAUUUUUAAUAUUGUUUUUUGGCCAAGAAGAAGUGAUAUUAUAUCAUUGUUUGAUGUAAGAAAAUACUACUUUAUAAUAUGAAAGA